rnacentral:rRNA from 1 species
GGAAGUAAAAGUCGUAACAAGGUCUCCGUUGGUGAACCAGCGGAGGGAUCAUUACCGAGUUAUCCAACUCCCAACCCCUGUGAAUUAUACCUUUAAUUGUUGCUUCGGCGGGACUUCGCGCCCGCCGGGGACCCAAACCUUCUGAAUUUUUAAUAAGUAUCUUCUGAGUGGUUAAAAAAAAUGAAUCAAAACUUUCAACAACGGAUCUCUUGGUUCUGGCAUCGAUGAAGAACGCAGCGAAAUGCGAUAAGUAAUGUGAAUUGCAGAAUUCAGUGAAUCAUCGAAUCUUUGAACGCACAUUGCGCCCGUCAGUAUUCUGGCGGGCAUGCCUGUUCGAGCGUCAUUACGCCCCUCAAGUCCCCUGUGGACUUGGUGUUGGGGAUCGGCGAGGCUGGUUUUCCAGCACAGCCGUCCCUUAAAUUGAUUGGCGGUCUCGCCGUGGCCCUCCUCUGCGAAGUAGUAAAACACUCGCAACAGGAGCCCGGCGCGGUCCACUGCCGUAAAAACCCCCAACUUUUUAUAGUUGACCUCGAAUCAGGUAGGACUACCCGCUGAACUUAAGCAUAUCAAUAAGCGGAGGA